rnacentral:lncRNA from 1 species
GUAAAUCCCAAAUUUCAGCCAAUUUGCAGCAUCUCCAGGUUCUUCUGAACAGCAGCCUGCCCUCCAGUGUAUCCCUAUGCCAGUUUGGUGACUGCAUCCUUGCAGAGAAUGUUCCCAGUCCCAUCAGGCAACCCAUUAGGGGAGACAAGAAGCAGUAGUGGUCCCAACACUGGUCUGAGGGAUGUGUCCAGUUCCUGGCUAACAGCUGGACUUUGCAGUGCUGCUUACACCUCCCUCAGCCUGGUGGCACAGCACAUUUUCCACCCACCUUAAUGUUCUCUUAUCCAACCCACAUUCCACCAUUCUGAUGAUGAAGACACAAUGGGAGACUGUGUCAAAAGUGAAGGGGUGCAACAACACCACCGUCUCCUUCUCCCUCUCCCUGCUGCUGGUUGCCUCAUCACAGAAAGCAGAUCUAUACUACCUUAGGUGUGGUUUGGCUUAUACCUGAAUUCAGUCAGCUCUGCACUGCACUCCCUCUACCUUCCAGGAUGUGGUUCCAUCUCCUUGCCUCCCCUGGAGCUGACAUCCCUCCAACAUCUCCUCAUACUGCUGUAAAAGCAAUUAAAGCUGGCACUGAGCAACUGACUCCAAAACAUUCCCUACAAUUAUCCAAACCACUUGUAUUCUGGGAGAAAUACAGCUGAUGACAUUCAAGAUGGAAUAAUUACGUAGUGGAGUCUUGCAAUAUUUAUGUGAAAGGUUAUUACACCAGAGCUCCAAAUGUUAGCAAAAUCACCUCAGGAAAACAGCAUGCAGGGUUGGCAUGUCUGUCUCCUGCUCUCAUAAUGCUCACUCAUGUUUAUGUGCAGACUUACUAGGAUUUUAUCUCUAAUAUCCAUCUCAUUAAUAGCCCUUUUGAGUUUUAUGGUAUAUCUUUUUGGCACAAAAUCAAUUGAGAGUUUCCAAUUACAUUUACAGAGAGAAGAUGCUCUUUACAUGUUGCUGUGUAAAUACUGGAUAAAGGGAUCUAUGUGGGAGCAUCAGCUAUUCACAUGUGCCACUGAUGCUUGAUAUGGGCCUCCCUGCUCACUGGGGAGAUAUCUGGAAGUUGUCAGUGGAGCACUUGCUCUCCAGAAGCCUUUCACCAACUCUGUUUGCAGCUGCUUUGGAUGAGGAGAGAAUUCUGUGCUGACCUGAGUAAAACACAGUAUCUGCUUCCCUUCACAAGCUUCAUGAAUUUCUCUGACAUCUCCAUAGCCUGUGAGCUAGAUUACAUCUAACCCCAGCAGAUUUUAAAUAAUCUACACUGAGGGUGUUCAGCAUGACUUGACAAAGGACCUUAUAACCAGGCACCUACCUUCUAGAAACCAGGUUCUAGUGGACACAGCACAGGCACAUACACAUCUGGUUAAAACACCAUAAUGACUCCAAUAUAGUCCAAGCAGGCAACACAGCUCCAACCAGGAGAUUCUGUUCUUUCCCCCAGGAAGCACAAAACCUUGCAAGCCACGUGGAAACCAAGUGGGUGGCAGUCCUUGCUUUACUUAGGAUGCUAGAGGAUACAGGUUGGGGAAAUAUCAGAAUAUGUCACAGACUCCAUGUCACACUGGCUAACUGGUCUCUUUGGACCUUGGGUCUCUAGCUGCAAGAGGAGAGAGGAUUAGUGCCCUCUGCCUUAGCUGCUUGCACUUUGAUUUUUUCAAUGUGCAUGUUACCAUACCUGAGGAGAUCCAAGCCUUACUCUGGGAACAGAAGCUGCAAGGAAGUGAAAUCAUCUUAGGAAAAAAUAAAUUUCAAUUCAGAAAGGUAAAACA